UUUGGUGGUCAUAGCGUUGGCUAAACACCCGAUCCCAUCCCGAACUCGGCCGUUAAGGGCCAACACGCCGAUGGUACUGCGUCUCAAGACGUGGGAGAGUAGGUCACCGCCAAAC
rnacentral:rRNA from 15 species